rnacentral:rRNA from 1 species
GACAGAGGCCCCAAGCGUUAGGCGGAAUCACUGGGCUUAAAGCGUGUGUAGGCGGACGCCUAAGUGUCUUGUGAAAUCCCACGGCUCACCCGUGGAACUGCUGGGCAUACUGGGAGUCUUGAGCCACCUAGGGGCGAGCGGAACAAAUGGCGGAGCGGUGAAAUGCGUAGAUAUCAUUUGGAACGCCAACGGAGAAAUCAGCUCGCUGGGGGUGUGCUGACGCUGAGACACGAAAGCCAGGGGAGCGAACGGG